CUGAGAUGAUGAUACCAGAGAAUGGUUUCGCUAACAUUGCUGAUUUCAUGUGAUGUCACACUUCUCUUGGCUGUCUGAUUGA